GAAAAUUACGAUGAGAUCCACUUUCACAUUCUCCUCCUAAAUCUCCUCCAUAAUCGACAAUCUCCUCCAGGCUCCUCCGGGCUCCUCCAUAAUCGACAAUCUCGUCCAUUCCGACGAUCGAAAAUCUCCUCCAGUCUCAACAACUCCUCCAUAAUUGGCCGCACCGGAGGCGGCAUGCUAAUCCUUUAGAGUUUUUUCAAAUCUGAAUCGGUAAAUAUAUUCUUAUUGCAAAAGUUUCUUAACUCGUGCGGGUGUUGAUUUUGGGCCUCAUUCAUGAAUUAAUCAAUUGGGUAUAUCAAUCUUGAAAGUGGGUCUCAUCAAGUUGAGUAUAAGCUCAUGGUUGAAGGCUUAAUGUUUAGCAGCUUUUUAAUUUGUUUUUGUUUAAAUUUCUGGAUUGGUUGCUCGUGGGUUGUUUUUUUGUGCUAUUGUUUAAAUUUUUGUGUUUCUGUAAGCUUCCUUAAUGUGGGAUUUUAGUUUUGUAUUUGUUUGAUGGUUAAUUUUGUGUGUGUGUUUUGAAGUACAGACACUCCUAAAGCUUAAAGUCCAGAUGCAAAGAAGGCAUUGAAGAAACAAAGAAAAAGAUAGAUACAUAAAAUCCAAUUCUGUGAGAAAAAAGGUGUGUUCUAUCUUUAUGUAAAAAGUGAAAAAAGUCACGAAUAAUUUCAAUAAUCUUGGGUUUGCA
rnacentral:lncRNA from 1 species